GAAAUCCCUGACAAUGCCGCGCUCGAGAAUAAGGACAUCAAUGGUCCAAAGGAUCUGUGAAGAAAUUAAAAAGAGUUUUGAUGCUUCGUCUUCUGACUUCCUCUUCUCUAGUAAAUGAGAGCACUUUUGGUAAAACUUUUUUCAUGUGAAAAGAUCACAAGAACAACGAGAAGUGGUUUUUUUUCUUUUGUGCAGUUAAGCCCCACAAAGUACGUUUUGAGUUUACUAUUUCCUUACAUUGAUUUUUUUUUUGUUUUUCUUUUUUUUUUCUUUCAUUAAUUUGAUGCGAAGUUUCUCAUGUCUUUUUGGAUAAUGGUGAAAUGAACUCUUUCUGUUGAAGUUAUCUUUGCUUGCGAUCACAAUUUUUCUGUGGCUUA